AGAGUUUGAUCCUGGCUCAGGACGAACGCUGGCGGCGCGCCUAACACAUGCAAGUCGAACGGAGCUGAGAGGAGCUUGCUUUUCUCAGCUUAGUGGCGAACGGGUGAGUAACGCGUGAGUAACCUGCCCUGGAGUGGGGGACAACAGUUGGAAGCAACUGCUAAUACCGCAUAAGCCCACGGCCCGGCAUCGGGCUGCGGGAAAAGGAUUUAUUCGCUUCAGGAUGGACUCGCGUCCAAUUAGCUAGUUGGUGAGGUAACGGCCCACCAAGGCGACGAUUGGUAGCCGGACUGAGAGGUUGAACGGCCACAUUGGGACUGAGACACGGCCCAGACUCCUACGGGAGGCAGCAGUGGGGGAUAUUGCACAAUGGGGGAAACCCUGAUGCAGCGACGCCGCGUGAGGAAGAAGGUUUUCGGAUUGUAAACUCCUGUCGUUAGGGACGAUAAUGACGGUACCUAACAAGAAAGCACCGGCUAACUACGUGCCAGCAGCCGCGGUAAAACGUAGGGUGCAAGCGUUGUCCGGAAUUACUGGGUGUAAAGGGAGCGCAGGCGGACCGGCAAGUUGGAAGUGAAAACUAUGGGCUCAACCCAUAAAUUGCUUUCAAAACUGCUGGCCUUGAGUAGUGCAGAGGUAGGUGGAAUUCCCGGUGUAGCGGUGGAAUGCGUAGAUAUCGGGAGGAACACCAGUGGCGAAGGCGACCUACUGGGCACCAACUGACGCUGAGGCUCGAAAGCAUGGGUAGCAAACAGGAUUAGAUACCCUGGUAGUCCAUGCCGUAAACGAUGAUUACUAGGUGUUGGAGGAUUGACCCCUUCAGUGCCGCAGUUAACACAAUAAGUAAUCCACCUGGGGAGUACGACCGCAAGGUUGAAACUCAAAGGAAUUGACGGGGGCCCGCACAAGCAGUGGAGUAUGUGGUUUAAUUCGAAGCAACGCGAAGAACCUUACCAGGUCUUGACAUCCGAUGCAUAGUGCAGAGAUGCAUGAAGUCCUUCGGGACAUCGAGACAGGUGGUGCAUGGUUGUCGUCAGCUCGUGUCGUGAGAUGUUGGGUUAAGUCCCGCAACGAGCGCAACCCUUAUUGCCAGUUACUACGAAAGAGGACUCUGGCGAGACUGCCGUUGACAAAACGGAGGAAGGUGGGGAUGACGUCAAAUCAUCAUGCCCUUUAUGACCUGGGCUACACACGUACUACAAUGGCGUUUAACAAAGAGAAGCAAGACCGCGAGGUGGAGCAAAACUCAAAAACAACGUCUCAGUUCAGAUUGCAGGCUGCAACUCGCCUGCAUGAAGUCGGAAUUGCUAGUAAUCGCGGAUCAGCAUGCCGCGGUGAAUAAAUUCCCGGGCCUUGUACACACCGCCCGUCA
rnacentral:rRNA from 1 species